GCCAGAGUGGCAUAGUAGUUUGAGCAGCGGACUGUGACUCUGGAGACCUGGGUUUGAUUCCCAGCUCAGCCA